CGGAGGGUCCGAGCGUUAAUCGGAAUUACUGGGCGUAAAGCGUGCGCAGGCGGUUUUAAGCCAGAUGUGAAAGCCCUGGGCUCAACCUAGGAAUAGCAUUUGGAACUGGGGAACUAGAGUCUUGUAGAGGGAGGUAGAAUUUCAGGUGUAGCGGUGAAAUGCGUAGAUAUCUGAAGGAAUACCAGUGGCGAAGGCGGCCUCCUGGACAAAGACUGACGCUCAUGCACGAAAGCGUGGGGAGCAAACAGGAUU
rnacentral:rRNA from 1 species